UAUAUCUAAGGGUAUGGCAGAUGAUAUG
rnacentral:piRNA from 1 species